CCUACGGGUGGCAGCAGUGGGGAAUAUUGCACAAUGGGGGAAACCCUGAUGCAGCGACGCCGCGUGCGUGAAGAAGUAAUUCGUUAUGUAAAGCUCUAUCAGCAGGGAAGAAAAUGACGGUACCUGAGUAAGAAGCCCCGGCUAACUACGUGCCAGCAGCCGCGGUAAUACGUAGGGGGCAAGCGUUAUCCGGAUUUACUGGGGGGAAAGGGAGCGUAGACGGCAGUGCAAGUCUGGAGGGAAAGGCGCGGGCCCAACCCCCGGACUGCUCUGGAAACUGUACGGCUGGAGUGCAGGAGAGGUAAGUGGAAUUCCAAGUGUAGCGGUGAAAUGCGUAGAUAUAAGGAGGAACACCAGUGGCGAAGGCGGCUUACUGGACUGUAACUGACGUUGAGGCACGAAAGCGUGGGGAGCAAACAGGAUUAGAUACCCCGGUAGUC
rnacentral:rRNA from 1 species